AGGGCUGUGGCUCAGUGGCAGAGUAUCUGCCUGGCAUGCAGGAGGUCCUGGGUUCAAUCCUCAACAGCUCUC
rnacentral:tRNA from 1 species